AUACGGAGGAUCCAAGCGUUAUCCGGAUUUAUUGGGUUUAAAGGGUGCGCAGGCGGGAGAUUAAGUCGGUGGUGAAAUUUUGCAGCUCAACUGUAAAAGUGCCUUCGAUACUGGCUUUCUUGAGUGUGGAUGAAGUAGGCGGAAUUUGUGGUGUAGCGGUGAAAUGCUUAGAUAUCACGAGGAACUCCGAUUGCGCAGGCAGCUUACUAAACCACUACUGACGCUCAUGCACGAAGGCGUGGGGAUC
rnacentral:rRNA from 1 species